AGGUCACUGCUAUCGGGGUUCGAUUAAGCCAUGCGAGUCGAGAGGGUUCGGCCCUCGGCGUACUGCUCAGUAACACGUGGAUAACCUGCCCUAGGGGAGGGGAUAACCCCGGGAAACUGGGGAUAAUACCCUAUAGGUUACAGAUGCUGGAAUGCCCUGUAACCAAAAGCUCCGGCGCCCUAGGAUGGAUCUGCGGCCGAUUAGGUUGUUGUUGGGGUAACGGCCCAACAAGCCCGUAAUCGGUACGGGUUGUGGGAGUAAGAGCCCGGAGUUGGAUUCUGAGACACGAAUCCAGGCCCUACGGGGCGCAGCAGGCGCGAAACCUUUACAAUGCGGGCAACCGUGAUAAGGGAACCUCGAGUGCCUGUAAACGCAGGCUGUUCAGGUGUUUAAAACGCACCUGGAGAAAGGGCCGGGCAAGACCGGUGCCAGCCGCCGCGGUAAUACCGGCGGCUCGAGUGGUGGCCGCUUUUAUUGGGCUUAAAGCGUUCGUAGCUGGGUUGUUAAGUCUCUUGGGAAAUCUGGCGGCUUAACCGUCAGGCGUCUAAGGGAUACU
rnacentral:rRNA from 1 species